GUAAGGUCUAUUGUUUCCAAAAUUUGUGUAAAAAUGUAAAGACUAAACAGACUGUUCAACAUAUAGAGCUUUAUCCUCUUUCAGGGAUAUAUUUAUGGGGGUACACACUGUUCCAUGACCAGUGUCUCCAAUAAGCAUCAACAUCUCAAAAAUGAAUGUUGGUGUAACCAAAAUCAGGAACUAUAUGUAUGUAUAGUUUCUAUAUAUAGCUAUUAUAGUUUGGGUUGUUCUUUGUAAUAUAAAAUACUAUUUUAUUGAAAUAGUUUUUGCAUUUGUCUACAUACGAUUACUUAUGAUAAAGUUGUUCAUUUCUUCUAGGUUUUUACAUAGUGUGGCAUACAGAAAGUUUACAAGGAUGGUGUAUGGUGUAAUUGGAAAACAAGAAUCCCACUGCUGCAUGUGCAUACCAUGCAAUAAGGAAGACAUUCCCUCUCACAAAAGAUGAAUCAUUUACCAGAUUUAAAUAUUUGAAUAAAUUAAUGACUAAGCUAACAUACAGUAAAACCCAUCGUAUCAGAACCUACCGUAGAUGUUUACAAAAUAACAGUGUAUACAUUACUUUAUAAAGAGCUUAUUUUCUUUAAUUGAUGUUUAAUUUUUUGCUUCUUCGAUAAAAUAAGAAGCUGUUUUGGAAUUCUAGUCUGAACUGGUUCUUUUGUAAAGCAGGGUUUUACUGUACUAUUUAAAUAUUAUACUCUAAUGAAACCUAUAUAUGGAACAUAUUUGGUAUCAACAUAAAUCAGUUUUGACUAGUGCUCAUCAGGGAUAGAAAACAAGUAAAGUAGAGCAAACUUGAUACAAGUAGUGAAUAAUAUAAUUUAUUUAACAAAUAUCACCACCCUGCCUAUAAAGCACCCUCCCUAUUAAGCCCCCUCCCUUUUAAGCCCCUUCCACAAUAAUCACCACCCUCCCAAUAAACACCCUCUCUAUUAGCCCCCCCCCUAAUAAGCACUACCCUCCUUAUAAAGUACCCACUCUAUUGAGUCAUCUCCUAAUAAGCACCACCCUCCCUAGUAAGCUCCAUCCCUAAUAAGCACCACCCUUCCAAAUAUUUCCCCUCUGUUAAGACCCUUCCUGCUGUAAUAUAAGCCCCAAUCUCUAUUAUAAAUCCCCAACAUCCUGAAUAAUCCUAAUAUGCCCUUCUGAAAAAAAAAACACCUCCCAAUAUGCCCUCCCUCCUCAAAUGCCUUAUCCAUAUAAUACACUAUGAUGUGCUCCUUUCAUUCCUUGGACAGUCUGUAACAAACUUGUGUCCUUUCAUGGGUGGUUGUUCACAUGCCCUGCAUUUUGGUGCUCCUUUAGACUUCUUUUGGCUCUGUUCAACAACGUAGUAGUGAAACUACAGUAACAAAAAGAUUUAUAUUAACAGCAAGCAUACUGGGUAACUUAUCUAUGGGCCACAGGCAGUGGGCAACACUUUGCAAAGACACCGUACUCUUUGAGUUGCUUGGCUGCCUUUUUAAGAUCAUCUUUGGUAACAUUGAGAAAAGUUUGAAAUAUUUCUUCGACAUAAUCUGUACAAAUCAAACAUGGAUAUAUAUAUACAUGGGUACAUGGUAUGCAUUGAUCAAUAUUUCACUAUAAUUAUUUUGACAGUCAAAUAUGAUACCCUCCUCAGACAUCCUUAAAUACACACCUAUGGGUCAUAGUCAGUGGGCAUAUUGACUUCACUAAAACAUAGGCGUAGCAAGAGACAUAGAUGGAGAAUUAUAUCACUGUAUAAUACUGUAUCAAAUUGCACACGGAAAUUACAAAAAUCUGCAAGGCUGAAGACAGAAAUAACAAAGAAAGCUCUCACAGACUAAACGAAAUUGUCUUUCUUAUAAGCUUUACCCAAUUACUGUAUAUCAAGUUUAAGUGUUAGCAUGUUAUAUAAUGAUAUGUUUAUUAAUUAAAUCAGUUUAGU